UCUCAACCAUAUAAGGUACGUUCCAUUGCUUUUAUAUACUAAAUGUGCCAUAAUGUUGUGCUUGUACUAUAAUUGUUUGAUUUUGCAGGAAAAGAAUGAUAGAUUCAAAAAGAUGAGAGCUAGUCAAACUAUGUUGCACACAACGAGUAGAAAAGGCUUUGCUCGCUUAGAAGCUGAAAUGCGUAUUGAAAGUGAAGACCCUGAUUCCAUUAAGAGAAAUGAUAUUUAUAUUCGAGGACAUACGCGAAAAAAUGGUGGAUCAAUUAAUGAAUCAGUUGGGGAAACAUUG